GACGAACGCUGGCGGCGUGCCUAAUACAUGCAAGUCGAACGCAGUGGGGACGGGUGAGUAACCCGUGGGUAACCUCCCAUCAGAGGGGAUAACACUUGGAAACAGGUGCUAAACCGAUCCCGAUGGAUGAACCCGCGGUGCAUUAGCUAGUUUGUGAGGUAACGGCUCACCAAGGCCACGAUGCAUAUCGGACAUGAGAGAGUGAUCGGCCACACUGGGGUUGAGUCACGGCCCGGAUGCCUACGGGAGGCAGCAGGAGGGAAUGUUCGGCAAGGGACGAAAGUCUGACCGAACAACGCCGCGUGAGUGAAGAAGGUUUUCGGAUCGUAAAACUCUGUUGGUAGAGAAGCGGUAUCUAACCAGAAAGCCACGGCUAACUACGUGCCAGCAGCCGCGGUAAUAC
rnacentral:rRNA from 1 species